rnacentral:rRNA from 1 species
UACAGAGGGUGCUAGCGUUGUUCGGAAUCAUUGGGCGUAAAGGGCGUGUAGGCGGUUUGUUAAGUCAUGUGUGAAAUCCCUCGGCUCAACCGGGGGAACGACGCAUGAAACUGGCAAGCUAGAGUACCAAAGAGGGGGGUGGAAUUCCCGGUGUAGCGGUGAAAUGCGUAGAUAUCUGGAGGAACACCGGUGGCGAAGGCGGCAUCCUGGACCGGCAUUGACGCUGAGGAGCGAAAGCCAGGGGAGCAAACGGGG